ACGAACGCUGGCGGCACGCUUAACACAUGCAAGUCGAACGAGAGAAGAGGAGCUUGCUUUUCUGAUCUAGUGGCGGACGGGUGAGUAACACGUGAGCAAUCUGCCUUUCAGAGGGGGAUACCGAUUGGAAACGAUCGUUAAUACCGCAUAACAUAAUUGAACCGCAUGAUUUGAUUAUCAAAGAUUUAUCGCUGAAAGAUGAGCUCGCGUCUGAUUAGCUAGUUGGUAAGGUAACGGCUUACCAAGGCGACGAUCAGUAGCCGGACUGAGAGGUUGAUCGGCCACAUUGGGACUGAGACACGGCCCAGACUCCUACGGGAGGCAGCAGUGGGGAAUAUUGCACAAUGGAGGAAACUCUGAUGCAGCGAUGCCGCGUGAGGGAAGAAGGUUUUAGGAUUGUAAACCUCUGUCUUCAGGGACGAAAAAAGACGGUACCUGAGGAGGAAGCUCCGGCUAACUACGUGCCAGCAGCCGCGGUAAUACGUAGGGAGCGAGCGUUGUCCGGAAUUACUGGGUGUAAAGGGAGCGUAGGCGGGAUCGCAAGUCAGAUGUGAAAACUAUGGGCUUAACCCAUAAACUGCAUUUGAAACUGUGGUUCUUGAGUGAAGUAGAGGUAAGCGGAAUUCCUAGUGUAGCGGUGAAAUGCGUAGAUAUUAGGAGGAACAUCAGUGGCGAAGGCGGCUUACUGGGCUUUAACUGACGCUGAGGCUCGAAAGCGUGGGGAGCAAACAGGAUUAGAUACCCUGGUAGUCCACGCCGUACACGAUGAUUACUAGGUGUGGGGGGACUGACCCCUUCCGUGCCGCAGCAAACGCAAUAAGUAAUCCACCUGGGGAGUACGACCGCAAGGUUGAAACUCAAAGGAAUUGACGGGGGCCCGCACAAGCAGUGGAGUAUGUGGAUUAAUUCGAAGCAACGCGAAGAACCUUACCAGGUCUUGACAUCGUAUGCAUAGCUCAGAGAUGAGUGAAAUCUCUUCGGAGACAUAUAGACAGGUGGUGCAUGGUUGUCGUCAGCUCGUGUCGUGAGAUGUUGGGUUAAGUCCCGCAACGAGCGCAACCCUUACUGUUAGUUGCUACGCAAGAGCACUCUAGCAGGACUGCCGUUGACAAAACGGAGGAAGGUGGGGAUGACGUCAAAUCAUCAUGCCCCUUAUGACCUGGGCCUCACACGUACUACAAUGGCUGUCAACAGAGGGAAGCAAAGCCGCGAGGUGGAGCAAACCCCUAAAAGCAGUCUUAGUUCGGAUUGUAGGCUGCAACCCGCCUACAUGAAGUCGGAAUUGCUAGUAAUCGCAGAUCAGCAUGCUGCGGUGAAUACGUUCCCGGGCCUUGUACACACCGCCCGUCACGCCAUGGGAGUCGGUAACACCCGAAGCCUGUAGUCUAACCGCAAGGAGGACGCAGUCGAAGGUGGGAUUGAUGACUGGGGUG
rnacentral:rRNA from 1 species